UACGUAGGGCGCAAGCGUUGUCCGGAAUUAUUGGGCGUAAAGAGCUCGUAGGCGGCUUGUCACGUCGGAUGUGAAAGCCCGAGGCUUAACCUCGGGUCUGCAUUCGAUACGGGCUAGCUAGAGUGUGGUAGGGGAGAUCGGAAUUCCUGGUGUAGCGGUGAAAUGCGCAGAUAUCGGGAGGAACACCAGUGGCGAAGGCGGCGACCUGGGCCAAUAUUGACGCUGAGGUGCGAAAGCGUGGGGAGCAAACAGG
rnacentral:rRNA from 1 species